rnacentral:rRNA from 1 species
AUGGACAAACCUAGCAUACUCAUCUAUCAAGAUGUACAAAUGUCUGAUGGACUAGAGCAACACUCAUUCAUCUUCAGCAUCCUAUGGAAAGCAUCAAAUUUACUCAGACAUAAGAUCUUCUUCUGGUUACUUCUACACGACAGGGUCAACAUCAGGAACCUACUAAAGAGAAAAUCCAUGUUCCUCAACUCAUAUGAAUUCCUCCCAAAGGAGUGUGGUAUAGACAUUAUCAUUGCUAGCUGCUGGAGUAUUUGGUCCGUGAGAAAUGAUAAGAUUUUCAAACAGGCAGUGGCCCACCUUAUGUGCUGGAAAUAUUACAUGAGAGAAGGUCCUAAAGUGCUCAUGCUGAGAGCAAAGGCUACCAAGGCAAGCAAGAUUCAGUUCUGGACGGAUAACACUUUGUAA